UUCCAGUGUAGAAAUUUAUUUUAAGAUCUUCUUUCGAGUGUAGUUUUAUUUAUGUAUGUCUAACCAAUGAAGAGAGGAGUUAGCACUGACAGAUACAGGUUGGUUUGUUGUAGUUGAUAAAUAGUGGAACUCUUACCUAUUUUAGUAUAAUACUCGUUGACUGUUUAAUAUUUUCUUUGCCUUUGACUGUGAGAGGCUCUUGAUCAAAAUCUGUAUUUGAUUUUGGUGGUUAAUUUUGUUGAUUUGGCAAAAUGAAUUUGGUGUGGCACAAGCUCAGAUUCAGUAUACGUUCUUCAAUGGAUAUAAUUUAAGUUCAGAAUAUUUUGGAUCAAGGAUUAAUGUUUGGGAUUAUUUUUGAAACUUCAUCUUAUUUUUAUGUAUCCUAAAUUUACGAGUAAAUUGAUUCUUCACAAAUUGGUCCUAGGAUAAGCUUGCUAUGAACAUUACUACUGAACAUGGAAAAACACUAGAGGAUGCACCCAAUGAUGUGCUGCAUGGACUUGGAUCUGCCUUGGAGCAAUAUUCUCUAUUGCAUUGAUUGGGGAGAAAAUUACAAGCUUCCAGUAAAAUUUUCAAUUGCUGGUAGACGGUUCAAGUAACCUUGGAUCCCCAUGAUCUGCCUCGGAGCAAUAUUCUCUAUUGCAUUGAUUGGGAAGAAAAUUACAAGCUUCCAGUAAAAUUUUCAGUUGCUCGUAGAGGGUUCAAGUAACCACUGAGCGUCAAAAUUUUCAAUUGCUGAUGUUCUUUCCCUGCCGAUAUAAAGGGAAGUAAUAUCUGAUACAAAAGCUUUUCUUGCGAAACUUAUCUAUCUUUUUAUACAUUAGUAGCUGCAGAAGUCCGUGGUUAUUUAUUCCUGAAGUAUCUUAUCCGAUUUUUUUUUACGAUUCCACGUCUUUUAGAGCGAAGUGUCAAUGCUGUGGAGUUGCUGCCAGUCUUUGAGUUUUAGUUUCAAAGGCGCCCAAAAAUUUGCUGCCAACCUUGGUGUGUAUUGUGGCUUGCCUUCAACUUUUCACGUACCUGUUAUUGUGAAAUUUCAGAAAGCUUUUGCAACAUAAUUUUUUCUUUGACUAUUUGGUUCAUCCCAGUUGUUGAGUCUUAUAUGAUAAUUUCUUUAUUACUUGCUCCAAAACACGAAUUUUCCUAUCAAAAAGCUGAACUCUUAUGUGACUCAUUUUUAAACUUCGCUGAACUCUUAUGUGACUCAUUUUUAAACUUCUAUUUUUUAUAUUAAGUUAAUUGCCUCAUGCAAUGUUUUUGGUUUUUUUAACGUGAAUACCAUAUGUUGUUCAUCUGUGAACAUAGUUGAUAAUCCCGUGAAUAGUAGGCUCACUUUGGAUUUCUAUAUGUGAGAAAUUUGACCAUUGAAUGUAAAAGUUAAUAUAAGUUCUAAAAUUUUCCUCCUUUGUUAUUCCGCAAGGCCAAAUCUCUAGCGGAAAUUUUUGCAAUCUUGUGGCCCAAUUUACUAUUUCUUUUUACUUCAAAAAAUGGUUCAAAGAUGAGAGAUCGGUAGGAAGAUGAAGAAUUAGCUAAAUAGAUAUGUCCAGAUUUGUUGUGGAUGAGUGUAACACUAUUUCAUGAACAAAACUUUGCAUUUAUGUUGUUUUCUUUUUAAUUAUGAAUAAGUUAGCCUAAGUUGGGCUGCUUGGAAUUCACACUUCUGUCUUCACGAUUUCAGGAGGAAUUCAUAGUAAUAAGAGUAAUAACUUGAAUAGGCAAAGUUGUUACAUAAUUCACUCAUUCAUUCAUUGUUUUCUUUUCCAUUAUUGUUUUCCAUGAUCCAAAACUAUAUAAACUAUAAUGUUAAUAACAAAAAGCAUCCUUUCAUAUGCAUAAACUAUGGUAGGAUUCUAUUUAUCUGUUUCCUGAAUUCUGUGUAAACAUAUGACUCAGUCCAAAGUUCUCUUUACCAAGACUUUUACUGAGUUUCAGCUGAAGAUUCUGUAUCGGCAGAUUCAUAAGACGAACCCAGACUUCACAUUGACGGAUGGAUUGAUGGUAACUUUUGAUAAUAUUUGCUAUAAUAAGAUUCUGUACCACCUUAUGCUGUACAAAUUUGUCAACCCAUUUAAUUAUGUCAAUUUAUGUAUGCUGUGUUAUUCCAACCCACCUAUUUGCAUUUUAUUUUAAGUUUCUUGUACAGUAAUGUGUACUCUAUCUGUGGGCCAGUUCUUUUUCAAAUAAUAGUUUUUUUAUGAUUUUUAAGAUUCUUUCCAUAUGUACUUGAAACCUUAGUAUAGAUAUCUAUACCAAAUGAAUGAAUACAAUUUUGUUUGCACUUCACCAUAAUUCCGCUGGUACUAUACUCUAUUGCUGGAGUACAAGAAUUUCUUUUUAAAGCUUAUAUCAACAUCUAAUUACUUCGUUGACAUUAAUCCUGUGCUUUAUCUAGAUUUUCGUCAUUGUGCUGGAGAAUUAAAAAUUCGAGAAAGUAAUUGUAUCUUAGUACUUGAAAUAAGAUAUCAUCAGUAGUUUACCGCAAACUCAAAUUUCUCCAGCUUUAAACAAAUACAUUGAAUGUUUCAUCUGAAUUUGUUUUCCAAUUUUUGUUUUAGGAAUGGGUGUUGGGAUUGAAAUAUGCUUUACAAUAUCGUAUGUUUACAGGUAUAUUAUCAUUAAUAUUGUGUGUUUAUAGGUCAUUACUAUCAUUGAGUGCUACCGAAACGCGUCGAAACAUGUAUUGAAGAUGCAAAAGAAAUCUAAAAGUGAUGUCAAAUGCAUCGGUCUUGUUCCUGGUAUCGACACAGGUUUGCGUCGGCCAUUUCUGUAGAACAUACUGCAAUCUAAAGCAAUAUUUUUUUUGUCAUCAAAACUUGCAUACUCUAUAAUUGUAAAAUGUUCAGUAUUUUUUAUAUUCUAGAUCUAUACUGGGUACCUUACAAAUGCUUAUAACAUGUUCAUUUCAUUUGUCAUUUCUCAAAGACAAUAUUUAAUUGGUCCUGAAUUUUUUGUAUAUAUUAUGAGGAGCUUUCAUCUUGAGGCAAGUAUACCACCCGUUCCCACUUUCCUGUACAUGAUAUUGCAAACCAGGCAUAUCAAUAGGAGUCUCACAUGUUAUGUGACUACAAUGAAUGUGGGCAUAAAUAUUUUUUACAUAAAAAGAACAGUUGUCAACUUACAUUAGUUCUCACAAAAGCGUCGUCUCAUCAUUGCCCUCUUUUUUAUUUGAAGACCUACAGUUUUUGGCACUCUUUGCAUCGGGGCAUAGACUGAAAAGUUCUGAUACUAUAAUUUUACAACCCUAAUCUUUACAUUCUCUAAACAAUUCUAUAAAAGGCCCCAAAAUCAAACAAACUACAACUUCUAUGGCAAUUAGGUUCUUGGUUUACAUAAAAUACUCACUAGCAAAAUUCUCAUUAGCUAACCAAACAGCAACGAAUCACGACAAUUUAUAUUUUUCCACCAUACAACUUAUGUCCCCAACCUAAAUAUACACAUCUCACUAAAAUUGCAAAAUUUCACCUUUAAUAAUAAACUAAACUGGAGUAAGAAAACAACAUAAUAAAUUUUGAGUGGUUGCAAGCUACCUGCAUUCCUCAUUCACAUGGAUAAUCAUGAAA